AAACCAACAGGGAUUACCUCAGUAAUGGCGAAUGAAGCGGUAAUAGCUCAAAUUUGAAAGCUGCCAACAGGCCGCGUUGUAAUUUGUAGAAGAUGCUUUGGGUGUUGGCCUAGUCUAAGGCCCUUGGAAUAGGGCGUCAUAGAGGGUGAGAAUCCCGUAUGUGAUUAGUGCCAUCCCCCGUGUAAAGCUCUUUCGACGAGUCGAGUUGUUUGGGAAUGCAGCUCAAAAUGGGUGGUAUAUUUCAUCUAAAGCUAAAUAUUGGCCAGAGACCGAUAGCGCACAAGUAGAGUGAUCGAAAGAUGAAAAGCACUUUGGAAAGAGAGUUAAACAGUACGUGAAAUUGUUGAAAGGGAAGCGCUUGCGAUCAGACUUGCGGGCGGUUGAUCAUCCGAGGUUCUCCCCGGUGCACUCGACCGUCUUCAGGCCAGCAUCGGUUUCAGUGGUGGGAUAAAGGCUGUGAGAAUGUGGCUCUUCGGAGUGUUAUAGCUCACGGUGCAAUGCCGCCUACUGGGACCGAGGACCGCGCUUCGGCUAGGAUGCUGGCGUAAUGGUUGUAAGCGAC
rnacentral:rRNA from 1 species